UAACUUUUGGUGUAAAGGCACAUUAAAUUUUGAUUUUAGAGGAAACAAGUCGUUUUGUUAAAGUUAGC
rnacentral:tRNA from 1 species